rnacentral:rRNA from 1 species
CAUGCAUGUCUAAGUAUAAGCAAUCUAUACUGUGAAACUGCGAAUGGCUCAUUAAAUCAGUUAUCGUUUAUUUGAUAGUACCUUACUACUUGGAUAACCGUGGUAAUUCUAGAGCUAAUACAUGCUGAAAACCCCGACUCGGAAGGGGUGUAUUUAUUAGAUAAAAAACCAAUUGCCUUCGGGGCUCCUUGGUGAUUCAUAAUAACUUCUCAGAUCGCAUGGCCUUGCGCCGGCGACGGUUCAUUCAAAUUUCUGCCCUAUCAACUUUCGAUGGUAAGGUAUUGGCUUACCAUGGUUUCAACGGGUAACGGGGAAUUAGGGUUCGAUUCCGGAGAGGGAGCCUGAGAAACGGCUACCACAUCCAAGGAAGGCAGCAGGCGCGCAAAUUACCCAAUCCCGACACGGGGAGGUAGUGACAAUAAAUACUGAUACAGGGCUCUUUUGGGUCUUGUAAUUGGAAUGAGUACAAUUUAAACCUCUUAACGAGGAACAAUUGGAGGGCAAGUCUGGUGCCAGCAGCCGCGGUAAUUCCAGCUCCAAUAGCGUAUAUUAAAGUUGUUGCAGUUAAAAAGCUCGUAGUUGAACCUUUGGCCUGGCUGGCAGGUCCGCCUCACCGCGUGCACUUGUCCGGCCGGGCCUUUUCUUCUGGAGAACCGCAUGCCCUUCACUGGGUGUGUUGGGGAACCAGGACUUUUACUUUGAAAAAAUUAGAGUGUUCAAAGCAGGCCUUUGCUCGAAUACGUUAGCAUGGAAUAAUAGAAUAGGACGUGCGGUCCUAUUUUGUUGGUUUCUAGGACCGCCGUAAUGAUUAAUAGGGACAGUCGGGGGCAUCAGUAUUCAAUUGUCAGAGGUGAAAUUCUUGGAUUUAUUGAAGACUAACUACUGCGAAAGCAUUUGCCAAGGAUGUUUUCAUUAAUCAGUGAACGAAAGUUAGGGGAUCGAAGACGAUCAGAUACCGUCGUAGUCUUAACCAUAAACUAUGCCGACUAGGGAUCGGGCGGUGUUAUUAUUUUGACUCGCUCGGCACCUUACGAGAAAUCAAAGUGUUUGGGUUCUGGGGGGAG